CCAGCCCGGAGCGACUUGGGAUGUCCCGGGGCGGCCAGCGCGGCAGGUGGGCGGGCGCCCCGGGUUCUGGCUGAGCUAGGGUUCCCCGAGGCGGGCUGCGAGUACGGGGGCGGGCGACUCCCACAGGGGACCCGGGGCGAGCACGCGAGCCACACACGCCACCCGGCCCAAGUUUCCUUUGUUUCCCGGGCCCUGCCAUCUUACCCCCCCAACCCGAAAAGUCGCAGCCGCAGGCGCCACGCGAGCUGCCCGGAGUUCUGGGCUGGGUUUUCUCAAGUGCCCGGUACAAGGGGGAACGGGAUAGGAUUGGCAGGUCUCUGGGCUGUGGCGCACGGGGUUGGCGAGGAGACCAGGCGCCGCCUCGCGCUGACCCUAGGCGGCUGCACGGCGGGGAUCGCGGGGACCCCGGGUCCCAGCAGGUCCAGGACUCGACGAGACCUCCCACCCAGAGGACACCCCUCCCCCAACUGCUGCGGCCGCGCAGUCCCACCAGAACUCGGAAUUCCUGGGGACGCGCUUGUUGGGGCUCUGUGGCACUUGCUUUCGGCAAACGCUUUCGGGAUCAAGCCGUUUCUUUCUCAUGGUUGCCGUUUGGUGCUAUGAUAAAGCGUGGAAAAAUUUUAGUCAUCCGUCUGCACAUUUUAAUGGAAUCCCUCAACCGUUCUAUUGUGAAAACUUCAAAGCAAAUUUUAAAAUAAUUUAGUGGUAGAAUAUUUUUAAUCACGGGGCUUAAACCUUUCUAUUUAAAGUUUAGCCUACGUGUUUUACAGACCUUAAAGUAAAACAGACCAAACCUAGCAACGAUAGAGAUUUGUUUAAAUUUCAAUUUUUGCAGAACAGCCUCAUAAAAAACGAGGUUAGUUUUAUGGGAGCAAACUGAACAAUGGAAUCCAUAGUCGUCGGUUAAUGACUGCAUUAGCCUGAGCCUCACCACCCAGCCACAGCCGCCCAGUAACUUUCCACGUGUGAGAUGUGCUUGGGAACACAGGAAUUUUUGUCUAGCACCGGUGAACUUUCCUGUUUAACAGUUACCACACUGUACAGAAACGUCCUUUGGUACACAGCCUGGGCACUCCUCUUCCAGGGUGUCGAAAGCACCACUGACUCAAUAGCGCCUAAUCCCAAGGGCCCUGUCUUCCGAGGGCCAGGACAAGCCCACGGGACUACUGGUGUCAGCCAUGGCUUCCAUUUAUUUUGCCCUCUGCUUCUUUUUUCUCGCCUCUCCUCUACUCUCCAUUCUUCCCCUCCCUCCCCUCCCUCCUUCUUGGUAUUAACUUAAGGAAAUGUGCGGGGGGUUGUGGUUAACAAUACAACCUCUGGAGCCAGGCUAUCGGUGCUGCAAAUGCUGUGAGGCAUUUGUACUUAGGGCGAAAAGCUGCAACUCCAUGCUUUGUAAAAUGGAGCCUGUAAUAGUAUAAUCGAUGAAUUAUUAAGCAAUUACUGUGCACGGGGUAUGGAAGCACGUGCCUGGAAUCGGAGCUCUCAUAAGGCAGAGGCAGAAAGAUCACAGCAAGGCCAGCCUGGUCUACAUAAGUUCCAGGCUACCCAGGGCCAUAUAGCAAGACCCCUGUCUCAGAAACAAAACAACAAAGGAGUGUUGUGUGUGUUAGAGCAGUGCCGACCUCCGAGGUCUCUCUUGAUGUUUGCUACCUGCCCGGGUAGCAGGAAACAGAAAGUGAUCUUCCCUAGAUCUCUGUGAUUCGACGGAAGCAUGAAGCUGAGCGAAGGCUCACCACUGGUCAGGGGUGCAGGACCUCCACCUGGACCCGUCCCCUCCACAGCUGAAGACACACAGAAUUCUGAGCCGAUCCCUUUGCCCAUCUUCCCAGAAGAUGUAGUAUGACCAGAACUUCAGUGUACCCGGAAGCAGAAGUCCAUUCUGCCCCUCCUGACCCUUAAAGGUAGAAGCACACAACUCCUUCUAGAAGCUACUCUGACUUUGUUUAUGAGUCUGUUCUUCCUGCUCUUCCGGCUUCCCACAGUUUGGUUUCUUAUUAGCCUGUGAUAGCCCAAGUCACUGCACUGAAGAGAAUCUUACAGUUA